rnacentral:tRNA from 1 species
GUUGGGGUGGCAGAGUCCGGCAAUUGUAUAAAACUUAAACNUUUACACUCAGAGGUUCAAAUCCUCUCCCCAACA